UACGUAGGGGGCAAGCGUUUGUCCGGAUUUAUUGGGCGUAAAGAGCGUGUAGGCGGUUUGGUAGGUCCGUUGUGAAAACUCGAGGCUCAACCUCGAGACGCCGAUGGAAACCAUCAGACUAGAGUCCGGAAGAGGAGAGUGGAAUUCCUGGUGUAGCGGUGAAAUGCGCAGAUAUCAGGAGGAACACCAAUGGCGAAGGCAGCACUCUGGGACGUGACUGACGGCUGAGACGCGAAAAGCGUGGGGGAGCAAACAGG
rnacentral:rRNA from 1 species